rnacentral:rRNA from 1 species
UACGUAGGGUGCGAGCGUUGUCCGGGAUUAUUGGGCGUAAAGAGCUCGUAGGCGGUCUGUCGCGUCGGUCGUGAAAACUUGGGGCUUAACCCUGAGCUUGCGGUCGAUACGGGCAUGACUGGAGUUCGGUAGGGGAGACUGGAAUUCCUGGUGUAGCGGUGAAAUGCGCAGAUAUCAGGAGGAACACCGGUGGCGAAGGCGGGUCUCUGGGCAACAACUGACGCUGAGGAGCGAAAGCGCGGGGAGCGAACAGG